UGGGGAAUUUUGCACAAUGGGGGAAACCCUGAUGCAGCGACGCCGCGUGAUUUAGAAGGCCUUCGGGUUGUAAAAAUCUUUUUUACGGGAUGAAAAUGACAGUACCGUAAGAAUAAGGUCCGGCUAAAUACGUGCCAGCAGCCGCGGUAAUACGUAUGGACCGAGCGUUGUCCGGAAUCAUUGGGCGUAAAGGGUACGUAGGCGGCCUAGUAAGUUAGAAGUGAAAUAAUACAGCUCAACUAUAUAAAGCUUUUAAAACUGCUAGGCUUGAGAGAUGGAAGGGAAAGUGGAAUUCCUAGUGUAGCGGUGAAAUGCGCAGAUAUUAGGAAGAAUACCGGUGGCGAAGGCGACUUUCUGGUCAUCAUCUGACGCUGAGGUACGAAAGCGUGGGUAGCAAACAGG
rnacentral:rRNA from 1 species